AGUCAUGAUGGCUGACUGACUGAUUACAGCGACCACUCAAAACAACACUAAAAUCAGACUGGCAGCGAUUAAGUAAGAGCUGCACAUUGCCCCCAUUUUCCUCAACUAUUCUGGGAAAAGAUUAUUUUGCCUUGAAGGUAUUUUGAGUGAAAACAUCCCACGGAGCUCUGCAGUGGUUUUGCCAUCACACAACCGUGCCUGGGAGAGCCAGUCGGAUGAUUGAAAAUGAGAAAAGGAAAAUCUUUUAAAUCCCCUUUUACUUCUUCAAUGCUCUAUUUAGAGGAGGCAACAAGGGCUAAGAGCAAUUCAGGAGAGGCCACAGUGGAAUGCAUGCUUGAAGGCUGAAUAUCUGGGUGCACCUGUAGAUGCAGCAGCAUGAUGUGAAUCCAGAGAUGAGGCUGUCGGCUGGUCAGGUAGAAACAGGACUUGGCGUACAGGCAGUAGUGGCCCUUCAGAGGACAAGAGAAUGAGAGCUUGGCCACGCAGCCUCGAUUUGAAUCUGUAACAAUAAACACAAACACACACACACACACACAUAAAAGAGUGAAAAUGAUACAACUAUAAAUUUGUAUUAAUCUCUGAAAAGUUGCACAGUUUGAAACUUGACUUCAAAAGCUCAACCACUCUCAGUGAGCUGUCUUUCUCUCUUCCACAUAUGGACUUGUGUAACCUUGGGAACAUAUUUACAGAGUGAUUCAUAGCAUGCAAGGACAAUGCAUCUCGUAAUCAUCAGAAAAACGUCUUCUCCUCCCACCACCGCCACCUCCCACGAACUUCCACCUCUCUGCCAAGGAGAAGAAACCAGCGAACACUUUCUAUGCUUCAUAUGGAAAUCAUCUGCUACAUCAGAAUGGUGAUUAAAAUGAAAUAAUGAAGGUUUAAUUUUGGAAAACUCUGCUGCAAGUUUUGAUGACAAAGUGAAACUAUCUGCGCCUUAGGUGAAAGAAGUGGUUCAAAGUGAUUUACAGCAAAACUCAACCUUCAUUUUGUUAUUCUGCAAAAUCAAUCUUAAAUAUUAAAGAAUGCUUCUGGCUCCACAACAUAUUAUAUAAUACAUCUGUUCCUUCACCCUCUAUUCACUCCACUAAAGCAGAAGAGAGUUAACGUAGAAGAUGUAACAUAGUAUUCUGUCACAGUCACUGGUCAACACAAUAAACUCAAAAAAUAAAUAAAUCACAAAACCA